AUUGAACGCUGGCGGCAGGCCUAACACAUGCAAGUCGAGCGGAUGAGUGGAGCUUGCUCCAUGAUUCAGCGGCGGACGGGUGAGUAAUGCCUAGGAAUCUGCCUGGUAGUGGGGGACAACGUUUCGAAAGGAACGCUAAUACCGCAUACGUCCUACGGGAGAAAGUGGGGGAUCUUCGGACCUCACGCUAUCAGAUGAGCCUAGGUCGGAUUAGCUAGUUGGUGAGGUAAAGGCUCACCAAGGCGACGAUCCGUAACUGGUCUGAGAGGAUGAUCAGUCACACUGGAACUGAGACACGGUCCAGACUCCUACGGGAGGCAGCAGUGGGGAAUAUUGGACAAUGGGCGAAAGCCUGAUCCAGCCAUGCCGCGUGUGUGAAGAAGGUCUUCGGAUUGUAAAGCACUUUAAGUUGGGAGGAAGGGCAGUAAGUUAAUACCUUGCUGUUUUGACGUUACCAACAGAAUAAGCACCGGCUAGCUUCGUG
rnacentral:rRNA from 1 species